UUCUGGUAGCUCCAGGAUUCCCACCAGCCUCCAGCCAUGAAGAUCUUCUGCCUCCUCUCUGUUGCCGUCCUCUUCUUGAUGCUCCUGGCUCCAGAUUUCACUGGAGCCCAAAAUGCCAAUGAAGCAUGUCGCGUUGCCGGCGGGAGCUGCCAUUAUUUUAGGUGCUGGAAACGCAAAACAGAAAUUGCUAAAUGCACAGGAAGCAAAGUUUGUUGCCGUUAAGGGGGGUAACUCUACAGAUCUCCGGUGCAAGACCUCUGGUGAAAGGAAGACCACCCUGCUCUCCUCUGAUGUGCAGCUGCCUCGACUGCACCCCCAUCUCUGCUGUGGAAGAAACCGCUUUGUUUGAUGCUGCUGAAGGCGAUGC